UGCUGCCUAUCUACACGCAAAUGGUUAUCAGUGUAGUUUUAUUAGGCUAGUGUUCUAACGGAGAGUGUAACGACGAAUACACAAGAUAUGUGACAUAGUUUAUACUUAAUAAUUUUAUAAUUUUAUAUUCGCUACUUUGUACCAAAGGGAACGGAAAAUUAAGAAACAGGAUAUAACUAGAAGGAAAAAAAACGGAUAACGAAUGGAGUUAGAUUAAGUGAGACGAUACUAAAACUAUAUGGAAGACAAAGAAAUAAGACUAAUAACGUCGACGCGAUAACGUAACAAAGGCAAUAAGGUUGAUUGGGUCUUUUAUACGGGUUAAAUUUAUUCGAAAGUACUAGAAUAAUUUAUUGGACGGAGUGGUUGAUCUGAACUCUAUGUAGUUCAUGAUCGGAAAUCUUGCCCGCGGUGAUUUGGCCAUCUGACGAGCGCAUGUUCCAUAGUUGCAGACGGACGUCACGUGGUCGAACCUGUGUAAGAUACUUUUAUAUCCAGAAGUUCCCAACAUAAAGCUAUAUUGAUCGAAAAUUCAGUAUAAAUUGUCGGCGAGGAUGGAUGUGGUGCAGCACAGGAGAAAUGAACUGUGACGAAUAACAGCAAGCAGCAGCAGAAGGGUGAAAUAAAGAAAAACAGGAAGAAGAAGCGCAUGAAUAUGUCAAAUAUGUAAAAACAUUGUUGUAGGUUAGAAGCGUGAAAUUUGAAACAAGUAAGAAAGGAACGAAAAAUUGAGGUUUGUUUGCGAAAUGGGAAUAGAAUAGAUAAUAGGAGUCUAAAGAACAAAUAAAGAUACAUUUAGGAGAUAUAUGUGUGCAUUGUUUAUUCGACCAUUGACCAUAAAUUGUGAAAGUAGGCUUUAAAAAGAUAAAUGACAGAUAGAAUAACUUUUAAAGAUUAAGAAUAUGGUUGCGUUAAGAAAGGCGUAAUUGUGAAACGUAUGGAUAAUGGAAUAAAAUACCAUUACGAAAGGUAAUAAUUAUAUCUGGAAAUAUAUUAAUAAGGAAUAACACGAUUGGAAUCUUGUAAUUAUACGGAUAAUAUAUGGAAAGUGGUUAACGUUAAAUGACUUCCAUUUAAAGGAACGAAAGGUAUUAGAAAUAAAAUGGAACGGUAUUAUUAAAUGUAGUAAUUAUAUAGAAUUAUAGGAAAUAUGCUGGUAAUUACAUCCUUGGUGUAAGCUUGGAUGAGAAUUAUAGUGCGUUACAAAAUCUGACAGGAAAGAAGAACGUCGGAAGAAGGUUUGGUGGAAGGGAAUAGAGAGAAAGAAAAUUUGUUGAAAGGUGUAAUGUUAUUUGAGAAAGGAAAGUUGGCAUAGAAGGAAGAGAGAAAUGUAUAGGACUUGAUAAAUUUAAUAAGUGGUAAAUGGGUGGUGAGUAGAAAGAAGGGCAGAGAAUAAUAGAGUGUAUCUAAAAUAUUUCUCUGAUGAAAAGGUAGAAGACAAAAGAGCGGUGAUUGUGGAAAAAAUGGAUUAAACAUAAAUAUAGGUUUAAGCAAGCAACAAGUAAAGAGCCCGGUUAGCUCCGCGGUAAGGUGUCGGACUCGUAACUCGGCUCAAUUCUUCACCCUGGGUUUUCUUCCCCGUGGUGGUGUGUCCAAACCGGCUCGAGGUAGAGAAAGCUACCCGAUUUUGCUGCCGCAAGCAAUUUUUAUCGUUCGUUUGGUAGAUGUGGGAAGGAAGAGAAGAAGAGUACAGUGCCUAGUCCGGAUAGGCAUGGCACGUAGAUGGGUAAGGACACGAGCAUUUAUCACACUACAGAUUCAAAUAUAGAGGGAAUUCUAUCCUAAAUAUGCUAUUCUAAAUAUAGAGGCAUAUUACAGUUACAAAUUACAAACGUUAUUAAAUAAAACGAAGUAAGUAAUUAAACGAAUAAUUGACCUACAACAACACACUAACGUAAUCUUAUAUUAGAAACAGAAUUAGAACAGAAUUAUCUGUGUGAAAAUAUCAGAAUUACAUGUAUAUUUAAGGAUUAACGUAAUUGUUGUACGAAGUUGAGAAAGUUUAUUAAUCGAUAUAAAAUAUUCUGUCGAAUUGAGAAAGUUAACAAUGUUGUAAAAUAUCUGCAGUUGUCAUGAAUCCAAAUAUUAUAUAAAUUCUUCUCCCUCUGAAAUAGGUGACUAUAGGUUGACCACUGACCAACUUCACGAUUGGUUGUUAUAGUUAAUCUUUUGCGCGAUUAAUUCACUCUCCAAGGAAUUGUAGGAACUUCCUUAGAAACUGUGCCAAGUUCUUCGUGUACAAAAGACCGUAAAUUAACUACGUGUAGAGAAAAUCAUGCGAAAAUUCGCCUCGGGUGACGAGGUAUCGUCGUGGAUAAUCGUUACUAACCGAAUUAUCGAAAAUUCGAUGAAUUAAAAAAACACGUAUAUGAUCGAUGCUGCGAUCUAUGGCAGA